CGCUCUUCCCUCUUGCUGGCCAUUGCAGCGGCCAAAAUGAAGUUUAAUCCCUUUGUGACUUCUGACCAGAGCAAGAACCGAAAGCGGCAUUUCAAUGCACCUUCCCACAUUCGCAGGAAGAUCAUGUCUUCCCCUCUUUCCAAAGAGCUGAGACAGAAGUACAACGUUCGAUCCAUGCCCAUCUGAAUGGUGAAGUACAUUCAACGAAGUACAACGUUCGAUCCAUGCCCAUCUGAUGAUGAAGUGCAGGUUGUGCGAGGACACUACAAAGGUCAGCAGAUUGGCAAAGUAGUCCAGGUUUACAGGAAGAAGUACGUCAUCUACAUUGAACGAGUGCAGCGAGAGAAGGCAAACGGCACAACCGUCCAUGUGGGCAUUCACCCUAGCAAGGUGGUUAUCACCAGACUAAAACUGGACAAAGACCGCAAAAAGAUCCUUGAACGUAAAGCCAAAUCUCGCCAAGUAGGAAAGGAAAAGGGCAAAUAUAAGGAAGAAACAAUUGAGAAGAUGCAGGAGUAAAGUAAUCUUAUAUGCGACUUGAAAUAAAAACUGUUAAAACGAAAAAAAAAAAAAAAGAA